GACGAACGCUGGCGGCGUGCCUAAUACAUGCAAGUAGGACGCAGUUGCGAACGGGUGAGUAACGCGUAGGUAACUACCUAUUAGAGGGGAAUAACUAUUGGAAACGAUAGCUAAUACCGCAUACUAGUAGAUGGACCUGCGUUGUAAUAGCUAGUAGGUAGGGGAAUGGCCUACCUAGGCAACGAUACAUAGCCGACCCGGGAGGGGGAUCGGCCAAACCGGGACUUGUACAAGGCCCAGACUCCUACGGGAGGCAGCAGUAGGGAAGCUUCGGAAAUGGGGGGAACCCUGACCGCGCAACGCCGCGUGAGGGAAGAAGGGUUUCGGAUCGUAAAGCUCUGUUGUUAAGGAAGCGGUACUUAACCAGAAAGGGACGGCUAACUACGUGCCAGCAGCCGCGGUAAUAC
rnacentral:rRNA from 1 species